UACGGAGGAUCCGAGCGUUAUCCGGAUUUAUUGGGUUUAAAGGGUGCGUAGGCGGUCAGGUAAGUUAGAGGUGAAAGCUCGAUGCUCAACAUCGAAACUGCCUCUGAUACUGUCUGACUAGAGUGUAGUUGCGGAAGGCGGAAUGUGUGGUGUAGCGGUGAAAUGCUUAGAUAUCACACAGAACACCGAUUGCGAAGGCAUCUCACGAAUCCGCGAUUGACGCUGAUGCACGAAAGCGUGGGUAUCAAACAGG
rnacentral:rRNA from 1 species